CUGCACCGCCUACCCCCGCUAUACGAGACGGGCGUCAGAGAAGUUUUUUGUGGCCUCUCUUGGGGUCUUUCUUCGCUACAAACUCGAGUGGUUAGUAUGUUCGUGGAACUUGGUUGGACCGUCACUGGCCAACAAACUAUACACAACUUUCGACAACGGAUCUCUUGGUUCUCCCAUCGAUGAAGAACGCAGCGAAACGCGAUAGGUAAUGUGAAUUGCAGAAUUCCGUGAAUCAUCGAAUCUUUGAACGCACCUUGCGCUCUAUGGCAAUCCGUAGAGCAUGCCUGUUUGAGUGCCAUGAAAUCUCCCACCCCAAGCGGUUUUUAAAUGAAACGGCUUGGCGGAUGGGGUCUGGAUGGGUGCCUCUGCCUGCGCUACCUAGCACAGGCUCGCCCGAAAUGCAUGAGCGCCUUGAGACACUUUGCAUCCGCCUCUCUGUUUGGGAGGAGGCGGCCAAGCAGUGUUUUUCUCCUGGCAUGGCAUGAUACGUCAUUUGCUAUGUCGCCUAAAGGAGGAAUGUUUGGUUGUG
rnacentral:rRNA from 1 species